GGGGAAUUAGCUCAAAUGGUAGAGCGCUCGCUUAGCAUGCGAGAGGUAGUGGGAUCGAUUUCCCCAUUCUCCA
rnacentral:tRNA from 1 species